rnacentral:rRNA from 1 species
UACGGGGGGGGCAAGCGGUUGUUCGGAAUUACUGGGCGUAAAGGGCUCGUAGGUGGUCAACUAAGUCGGACGUGAAAUCCCUCGGCUUAACCGGGGAACUGCGUCCGAUACUGGAUGACUUGAGUUCGGGAGAGGGAUGCGGAAUUCCAGGUGUAGCGGUGAAAUGCGUAGAUAUCUGGAGGAACACCGGUGGCGAAGGCGGCGAUCCUGGACCGACACUGACGCUGAGGAGCGAAAGCCAGGGGAGCAAACGGGG